rnacentral:sRNA from 1 species
AUAAAAACUAAUCUUAGUGUUAAAUUUACUUGCGUGAAAAGCGGUUGAACUAAUAACACGGCUUACGGACCCGUAGGAUGGGACGGCAUGCUUAAUCCGGUUUGUUCUCAAUGCAUUGAAAUUUAACACUUAGAUUUUUUAAAAACCAAAAUAUUUUAGGGAUUUAGAUAUUGUAUCUAAUUAGUUUACAUAAAAAUUAAAAUUUAACACUUAAAAGAAAAAGACAAAACAUUAAGAAAAAAAUCAUGAAUUUUACUUAAAAAAUAUUUGAAAAAAC